rnacentral:rRNA from 1 species
GGGAUUGCCCUAGUAACGGCGAGUGAAGCGGCAACAGCUCAAAUUUGAAAUCUGGCUCUUUCAGAGUCCGAGUUGUAAUUUGCAGAGGGCGCUUUGGCUUUGGCAGCGGUCCAAGUUCCUUGGAACAGGACGUCACAGAGGGUGAGAAUCCCGUACGUGGUCGCUAGCUAUUGCCGUGUAAAGCCCCUUCGACGAGUCGAGUUGUUUGGGAAUGCAGCUCUAAAUGGGAGGUAAAUUUCUUCUAAAGCUAAAUAUUGGCCAGAGACCGAUAGCGCACAAGUAGAGUGAUCGAAAGAUGAAAAGCACUUUGGAAAGAGAGUCAAACAGCACGUGAAAUUGUUGAAAGGGAAGCGCUUGCAGCCAGACUUGCUUGCAGUUGCUCAUCCGGGCUUUUGCCCGGUGCACUCUUCUGCAGGCAGGCCAGCAUCAGUUUGGGCGGUGGGAUAAAGGUCUCUGUCAUGUACCUCUCUUCGGGGAGGCCUUAUAGGGGAGGCGACAUACCACCAGCCUAGACUGAGGUCCGCGCAUCUGCUAGGAUGCUGGCGUAAUGGCUGUAAGCGGCCCGUCUUGAAACACGGACCAAGGAGUCUAACAUCUAUGCGAGUGUUUGGGUGUCAAGCCCGAGCGCGUAAUGAAAGUGAACGGAGGUGGGAACCCGCAAGGGUGCACCAUCGACCGAUCCUGAAGUUUACGGAAGGAUUUGAGUAAGAGCAUGGCUGUUGGGACCCGAAAGAUGGUGAACUAUGCUUGAAUAGGGUGAAGCCAGAGGAAACUCUGGUGGAGGCUCGCAGCGGUUCUGACGUGCAAAUCGAUCGUCAAAUUUGGGCAUAGGGGCGAAAGACU